UCUUGGUCCCGGGAUUCGCCGUCGCGCCGCCAUGAGUGACCGUCGGCGCCGCACAUCCUCGUCAUGUUGGCUCUCUGCACAAGGCGGACCAGCAACUGGACGACCUCCGACAUCGGCGGCCUGAACUCCGGUUCGGACUGUCGACAAAAGCGCGAUCGCGUCAGCGAAGCGGGAGAGCGAUUUCGAAGGGUACAGCCCCUGGAGUGCAGGGUCGACCAUCUGGUCCAAAGCGUCGAUGUCGUGCAGCUGGGGAGUUGCCCACCCGACCAGUGACUGCUCCGACCGUGGCCGGGAUCUGCAAAUGUUUCCGGCCAGUCAGGAGCUCUAGCAUGACAACACCGAAGCUGUACACGUCACUCUUCACGGAGUACUGGCCAGACAUGGUCACCUCAGGGGCCCUGUAUCCUGAGUCCUCAUCUGACACCUGAAAUUGUCGUUAUGAAUAAGGUCAGCAAACCCAGAAUCUGAAAGAUGGGGAUUUAGCUCGUUAUCCAGAAAAAUAUUGGAUGACUUGAAAUUCUUGUGUAUCACGGAAGGUGAACAAGUUUCAUUUUCACUUACUCUAAUGCCCUCGCAGAUCCAAGGGCAAUCUUCACACGGCUAUUCCAAGACAACGGUUGGCUUUGAUCAUCCACUAGAUGAAGCAAGUCUUUAAGAGAACCAUUUCGGUAGAACUCAUAUGCCAGUAAGCACUGCCCAUGCUCUGAACAGUAGCCAACUAACUCAGAAAGGCUUGGAUGAUUUAACCUUGAAAUAUUUGCAACUAACUCAAUGAACAAAUCUGAAGGAUGGCCCGGGAAUGCAGAGAAAUUGAUUUUCUUCACAGCCAGGACCUGAAACACCUUGUGGUCAUUGAAUUUCGCCUUGUAAACACGACCGAAUAACCCCUCUCCAAUUAAAUUGUCAGCACAGAAGCUGCCUGUUGCCACCUGUAGGUCUGCCACAGUGUAUGCAGGUGUUCUGAUGGAACUAAAACUUAUUUUCCUUGUGAAAGACUUGCUGGUGACAUCAUUUUCAUCAAUGGACUUGUGCAAGUCAAUUCUUGUUGGAGUGCUGCACAACUGUUUGCAAAUCAUUCCAAAGCUGACAAUUAGCAUGAAACUUACGUUUAAGACUGUCUUUAAAUCCUGAAACAAUAGGGCUGAGAGGUUCCUUCUGUUCAGGAUCUCCUCCUCGUGGCAAUGACCAAUAUUUCUUCUUGAUCACAAAGAAGGCAACUAUUGCACCCACAACUACCAAACAUACUACAAUUCCGGCUAUGGCACCACCACUUAGUUUAGAGUGUUUGCGACCAUCAUCAGACGGAUUAUUGUUAACAGUAGUAGUUGGAGGAGCAGGUUGUCGAGAUUGUGGAGAUUUGUAUGGAGGAGAUUUAUAAGAUCGUGAGUAUAUUGGUAACAGAAGUACUUACUGGAGAUUCUUUAUUUUCUUUAGCUUAUCAGGUAUCCAUCCGGUGAAUUGGUUAUUUGCAACAUUUCUGAAUCAGUAAGCGGAAGAUCAGCAAGGACAUCUAUUGUGCCAUUGAAUCCGUUGUUCUGCAGAU
rnacentral:sRNA from 1 species